UACGUAGGGGGCAAGCGUUGUCCGGAUUUAUUGGGCGUAAAGAGCGUGUAGGCGGCUUUACAGGUCCGUUGUGAAAACUCGAGGCUCAACCUCGAGACGCCGGUGGAAACCGUAAGGCUAGAGUCCGGAAGAGGAGAGUGGAAUUCCUGGUGUAGCGGUGAAAUGCGCAGAUAUCAGGGAGGAACCACCCGUAGGCGAAAGCGGCGUCUCUGGGACGGUACGUGACGCUGAAGGCGCGGAAAGCCAGUGGGGAGCAAACAACG
rnacentral:rRNA from 1 species